rnacentral:rRNA from 2 species
UGAGGGAAAGGCGAAAAGAACCCCGGCGAGGGGAGUGAAAAAGAACCUGAAACCGUGUACGUACAAGCAGUGGGAGCCCCACCACCAAAGCAUUCUCUGGUGUUGAAGGCCCUGCAAAGCAGCAUCGCGGUGGCGGAGCGUCGUUUGCGACGCCCAACACACAAAACAAGCGGUGAAUGCUUUGGGGUGGGGUGACUGCGUACCUUUUGUAUAAUGGGUCAGCGACUUAUAUUCUGUAGCAAGGUUAACCGAAUAGGGGAGCCGGAGG